AAGUCGUAACAAGGUUUCCGUAGGUGAACCUGCGGAAGGAUCACAUAACGCUUAACGCAGGUUGCAGUGGCUUCACGGCCCCAUAUUUACCCCACUAACUAUCAAACCCCGCCCUAAUGGAAACUGUGGGCGUUACAAAACUUGAACAACUGUUAACAAUGGAUAUCUUGGUUCUC
rnacentral:misc_RNA from 1 species